rnacentral:rRNA from 1 species
UACGUAGGGGGCAAGCGUUGUCCGGAUUUAUUGGGCGUAAAGCGCUCGCAGGUGGCCCGAUGCGUCGUGCGUGAAAGACCCCGGCUCAACUGGGGAGGGUCACGCGAUACUGAUCGACUGGAAGGCAGGAGAGGGUAGUGGAAUUCCCGGUGUAGUGGUGAAAUGCGUAGAUAUCGGGAGGAACACCAGUGGCGAAGGCGACUACCUGGCCUGUUCUUGACGCUGAGGCGCGAAAGCUAGGGGAGCAAACGGG